AUUGAACGCUGGCGGCAGGCCUAACACAUGCAAGUCGAACGGUAACAGGAAGAAGCUUGCUUCUUUGCUGACGAGUGGCGGACGGGUGAGUAAUGUCUGGGAAACUGCCUGAUGGAGGGGGAUAACUACUGGAAACGGUAGCUAAUACCGCAUAACGUCGCAAGACCAAAGAGGGGGACCUUCGGGCCUCUUGCCAUCGGAUGUGCCCAGAUGGGAUUAGCUAGUAGGUGGGGUAACGGCUCACCUAGGCGACGAUCCCUAGCUGGUCUGAGAGGAUGACCAGCCACACUGGAACUGAGACACGGUCCAGACUCCUACGGGAGGCAGCAGUGGGGAAUAUUGCACAAUGGGCGCAAGCCUGAUGCAGCCAUGCCGCGUGUAUGAAGAAGACCUUCGGGUUGUAAAGUACUUUCAGCGGGGAGGAAGGGAGUAAAGUUAAUACCUUUGCUCAUUGACGUUACCCGCAGAAGAAGCACCGGCUAACUCCGUG
rnacentral:rRNA from 1 species